AAAGAUUUUUUGAUUCUGCUCAGGACGAACGCUGGCGGCGUGCGUAAUACAUGCAAGUUGAGCGCUGAAGGUUGGUACUUGUACCGACUGGAUGAGCAGCGAACGGGUGAGUAACGCGUGGGGAAUCUGCCUUUGAGCGGGGGACAACAUUUGGAAACGAAUGCUAAUACCGCAUAAAAACUUUAAACACAAGUUUUAAGUUUGAAAGAUGCAAUUGCAUCACUCAAAGAUGAUCCCGCGUUGUAUUAGCUAGUUGGUGAGGUAAAGGCUCACCAAGGCGAUGAUACAUAGCCGACCUGAGAGGGUGAUCGGCCACAUUGGGACUGAGACACGGCCCAAACUCCUACGGGAGGCAGCAGUAGGGAAUCUUCGGCAAUGGACGAAAGUCUGACCGAGCAACGCCGCGUGAGUGAAGAAGGUUUUCGGAUCGUAAAACUCUGUUGGUAGAGAAGAACGUUGGUGAGAGUGGAAAGCUCAUCAAGUGACGGUAACUACCCAGAAAGGGACGGCUAACUACGUGCCAGCAGCCGCGGUAAUACGUAGGUCCCGAGCGUUGUCCGGAUUUAUUGGGCGUAAAGCGAGCGCAGGUGGUUUAUUAAGUCUGGUGUAAAAGGCAGUGGCUCAACCAUUGUAUGCAUUGGAAACUGGUAGACUUGAGUGCAGGAGAGGAGAGUGGAAUUCCAUGUGUAGCGGUGAAAUGCGUAGAUAUAUGGAGGAACACCGGUGGCGAAAGCGGCUCUCUGGCCUGUAACUGACACUGAGGCUCGAAAGCGUGGGGAGCAAACAGGAUUAGAUACCCUGGUAGUCCACGCCGUAAACGAUGAGUGCUAGAUGUAGGGAGCUAUAAGUUCUCUGUAUCGCAGCUAACGCAAUAAGCACUCCG
rnacentral:rRNA from 1 species